UUUGUCUAAUUUUAGUAUUGGUACCCCAGCUUUCUUUUGGUUACUAUUUACAUAGAAUAUUUUUUUCCAUCCUUUUAAUUUCAAUCUUUGGAUAUUCUUGUAACAGGAUGUAAUUGGAUCAUGUUUUCUCGUCUGUUCUGCCUAUCUCUGCCUUUUGAUUGGAAAGUUUAGCCUAUUUAUAUUUAAAAUAAUUGCUGGUAAGAAAGGACUUACUUUUGUCAGUUUGUCUUCUGUACAUCUUAUGCCUUUUUUGUCUUUCAUUUUUUCCAUUACUGCCUUCUUUUGUGAUUAAUUGAUUUUUUUUUUUUUUGCAGAUUAUUUUUAUUCCCUUCUCAGUUCCUUUUGUAUAUAUAUUUAAGAUUUUUUUGUGGUUAUUACAGGAACUACAUUUAACAUCCUAAAAUUAAAAAACCAAAGCAAAUAACUAAAUUUAUAACAAUCUAAUUAGAUUGGAUAUCAACUUAACUCUAAUAGCACACAACACUUGAUUCCUAUACAGCUCUGUCAUCCCUCUCCUUAUGCUUCUAGACACAUAAAGAUGUUAUGACAAAUUAUACCUUGAUGUGUCUAGAAGCAUAGAUUUAUUAUAUUUUAAUGCAUUUUUCUUUCAAAUUCUGUAGGAAAUAAGUAGAGUUAUAAACAAAAAAUACAAUAAUAAUCGCUUUAAUAUUUGCUCAUGUAUUUACCUUUACCAGAGGUCUUUAUUUUUCUUGUAUAUGGCUUUGAGUUACUGUUUAGUGUUCUUUUGUUUCAAUAUGAAGGACUUCUUUAAAUAUUUUUGUAAGACAGGUCUAGUGGUAGCAAGCUGCCUCAUCACUUGUUUAUCUAAGAAUGUGUUAUUUUUAUCCAUCAUUUUUGAAAAAUUAUUUGUUGGUUAUAGAACUCUUAGUUGACAGUUAUUUCCUUCAUCACUUCACAUAUGUUAUCCCACUGUCUUCUAGCCCAAACAGUUUUUGAUAGUUUUUGAAAUCAGCUGCUAAUUUUGAGUCUCCCUUUUACGUGAUGUGCUGCUUCUCUCUUGCUGCUUUUAAGAUUAUCUCUUUGUCUUUUGACCGUUUGAUCAUGAUGUGUCUUGGUGUGGAUCUCAGAGCUCAUCUUACUUGGAGUUGGUUAAGCUUAUUGGAUUUGUAGAUUCAUGUGUUUCAUCAAAUUUGGGAAGUUUCAGCCAUUAUUUGAACAAUAAUAUUGUUCAAAUAUUAUUUUGCCCCUUUCUCUAGCUCCUCCUUUUCAAACUCUUCUGUUGUAUAUAUUAGUCUUCUUGAUGGUAUCCCACAGGUCCCUUAGACUCUGUUCACUUUUUUUUUUCUUUUACUCAGACUCAGUAUUUUCAAUUGUCCUAUUUUCAAAUUUGGCCAUUCUUUUUUCUGCCUACUCAAAUCUGCUUUUGAACCUCUCUAGUGAAUUUUAAAAUUUUUUGUUCUUGUACUUUUCAGUCCAAAUAUUCUGUUUGGUUCCUUUAUAUAAUUUCUACCUAUUCAUUGAUAUUCUUAUUUUGCCCAUAUAUUAUUAUCCUGAUUUUCUUUUGUUCUGUAUCUGUGUUUUCUCUUUGCUCUGUAAGCAUACUUAAGACAGUUGUUUUAAAGUUUUUGUCAAGUAAGUCUGAGGUAUGGGCUCCCACAGGUACAGUUUCUUUCAGUUUAUUUUGUUCCUUUGAAUGGGCUACAAUUUCCUGUUUCCUGUAUGCCUUGUGAUUUUUUUUAUUGUUGAAGGUUAUAGUAGUCUGUUUGUUUAGUAUUUUUUCCAAACUAUUAUUGAAAAGACUAUAUUUUUUAUCAUGUGAGGUCAUAGAAGUCUUUGUUCCUUAGCUUAUAUUCAGCUAGUGUUCUGACUGAGAUUUCCGUGAGUGCCAGGAACUAAAAACAAAACAAAACAAAGGGAGAGAAAGGGAAAACCACCUCUACUAAUCUUUCCAGACUGCCUCUGUAUAUGUGCAUGUGUGCCCUUCCUUCAACAGUUAGCCAUCCUCACACUGAGUCUACAGAUCAACUCAAGGUGAAAGUGUAGGGUCAUCUUAGGUCUUUCUUCUGUAUGUGUUUUGUCCUGGGUGUGUACAUGGCUUUCUAAAUUCCCAGUAUACAUGACUACUUUUGAAUGUCCUGAUUUCCUAAAGAAAUUUUCCUCAGCCUUUGCCUUGGGCAACUUAUUUUAUGUUUUGACUAUAAUCUUUUGUCCCAGGCACCUGAAAGUUGUUAGUUGGGCUUGUAGUAUUUGAGAGCAUUGCUUUUUUGGCCUGAUUUCUGAGGUAGAAAAAGAGAUGUUUGCUUUCCAUCACUCCUUCAGGUAGUCCCCAGACAGGUUAGAACAGACAUACAUGAUUUGUGGAUAAUAUCUGCUCUGCUCCACUCCCUCUUGAAUCAGAGGAAAGCGUCCUACACUAAGAAUGCAGGCAGCCCCUGCUUCAAGACCAAAUCUGCUAUAAAAUCACCACAAACUUUCCUAACAUUUUGUUGUGCUUUUUUUAAUUCAGUUUUUGUUUGCUAGAGUUCUGAAAAAGUUGAUUCUGAUAGUUUAUUCUUGUUUUUUAGAGUUUCUGUGGGAAAUGAGAACUGCAGCUGCCAACUUCACCAUUUUGCUGAUGUCACUAAGUGCAAGUUUGACUUUUCAAUUAGACCAUCUAUGCCUAAAGAUUUUUCAGAUGCCAAGAUGCUUCUUUCACAUCUUAGGAUCAUGGUGGUUUGUAAACAGAUAAGAAAGUUUGGAGUUGCCCAGAAAGAAAGCAUAGUCAUGCUUCACCAAUCCAGUGCUCACUUAUCCAUGUCAGCUCUUUAAGUCAUGUCUGAGAUCCCUGAGACUGCACAGGAAGCAUGGAACAGCAUCUGCUUGGAUUCUGGGGAGGCCUCAAGGAGCUUUUACUCAUGGCAGAAGGUGGAGCCAUCUCACAUGGCAGAGCAGAAGCAAGAGGGGGCCUGGAAAACAUAUCGGGAGAAUAAUCAAGGAAAACUUCCUCAGCCUUGUGACAAAUCUAGACAGCCAAAUACAAGAAGCACAAAGAACACCUGAGAAAUUCAUCA
rnacentral:lncRNA from 1 species